ensembl:snRNA U6 U6 spliceosomal RNA
GUGCUCGCUUCGGCCACACUUAUACUAAAAUUGGAACAAUACAGAGAAGAUUAGCAUAGCCCCUGUGCUAGCAUGAUAUACAAAUUCGUGAAGCGUUCCAUAUUUUG